CCGAUUUCUCCACCAUCCGACGUCACCUCGUGUCGUGCCACCUAUCAAACUGACGGGCUCGACGAGCUCCAUCUUUUGGGCUACGCCUUGCACUCCGGCGACAACCACACACGGUGUAGCAACCGCCGGAAGUUACUGUUGUGGCGGCGCCGCCUCCUCCGGCCACCAUGGCUCGGGAUUCUUGGGGGGUUUUGCUUGUCUCAGUCCCAGCAACAUUCCCACAAAAGGAAUCGAGCCAAAUCGAAGUGUGACUGACGAAACGAGUGAGGAAAUUACUUUCAGGGUCGUGAAAGUUGCACGCAGGAAAGAAGUGGAUAACUCCGCAGGUGUGGAUUAGCGGGAAUUGACGGACUGCUCA